rnacentral:rRNA from 1 species
AGCAGCCGCGGUAAUUCCAGCUCCAAUAGCGUAUAUUAAAGUUGUUGCAGUUAAAAAGCUCGUAGUUGAAUUUCGGGAUCAAUACGUCGGUCGUGCCUCCGGUAUGUACUGGUGUUAUUGACUCCUCCCUUCUGAUGAACCAUGAUGUCAUUAAUUUGGUGUUGUGGGGAGUCAGGACUGUUACUUUGAAAAAAUUAGAGUGUUUAAAGCAGGCCUACGCUUGAAUACAUUAGCAUGGAAUAAUGAAAUAGGACGUUCGAACCUAUUUUGUUGGUUUUUAGGAUCAACGUAAUGAUUAAUAGGGAUAGUUGGGGGCAUUAGUAUUCAAUUGUCAGAGGUGAAAUUCUUGGAUUUAUUGAAGACUAACUACUGCGAAAGCAUUUGCCAAGGAUGUUUUCAUUAAUCAAGAACGAAAGUUAGGGGAUCGAAGACGAUCAGAUACCGUCGUAGUCUUAACCAUAAACUAUGCCGACUAGGGAUCGGAUGAUGUAAUUUUUAAUGACUCAUUCGGCGCCUUACG